GGCCGCCUGGCGAAAUGGCAUCGCGUCUGACUACGAUAGAGCAUUGCAUUGUAGUACGUUAUCAGGAGAUUGCAGGUUCGACCCCUGCGGUGGUCA